AUUGAACGCUGGCGGCAUGCUUUACACAUGCAAGUCGAACGGCAGCGCGGGCUUCGGCCUGGCGGCGAGUGGCGAACGGGUGAGUAAUGCAUCGGUACGUGCCCAGUAGUGGGGGAUAGCCCGGCGAAAGCCGGAUUAAUACCGCAUACGACCUGCGGGUGAAAGCGGGGGACCGAAAGGCCUCGCGCUAUUGGAGCGGCCGAUGUCGGAUUUGCGAGUUGGUGGGGUAAAGGCUUACCACGGCGACGAUCCGUAGCUGGUCUGAGAGGACGACCAGCCACACUGGGACUGAGACGCGGCCCAGACUCCGACGGGAGGCAGCAGUGGGGAAGUUUGGACAAUGGGGGCAACCCUGAUCCAGCCAUGCCGCGUGCGGGAAGAAGGCCUGCGGGUUGUAAACCGCUUUUGUUCGGGAAGAAAGCCCCUGGGCUAAUACCCCGGGGGGAUGACGGUACCGGAAGAAUAAGCACCGGCUAACUACGUG
rnacentral:rRNA from 1 species